CCUACGGGCGGCAGCAGUGAGGAAUAUUGGUCAAUGGCCGAGAGGCUGAACCAGCCAAGUCGCGUGAGGGAAGACGGCCCUACGGGUUGUAAACCUCUUUUGUCGGGGAGCAAAGAGAGUCACGUGUGACUCAUUGAAAGUACCCGAAGAAAAAGCAUCGGCUAACUCCGUGCCAGCAGCCGCGGUAAUACGGAGGAUGCGAGCUUUAUCCGGAUUUAUUGGGUUUAAAGGGUGCGCAGGCGGAGGUGCAAGUCAGCGGUCAAAUUGCGGGGCUCAACCCCGUACUGCCGUUGAAACUGCAGCCCUUGAGUGCGUGAGAGGUAUGCGGAAUGCGUGGUGUAGCGGUGAAAUGCAUAGAUAUCACGCAGAACUCCGAUUGCGAAGGCAGCAUACCGGCGCGCGACUGACGCUCAUGCACGAAAGCGUGGGUAUCGAACAGGAUUAGAUACCCCAGUAGUC
rnacentral:rRNA from 1 species